GUAUUACAAAACUGGAUUAGUAGAUUCGGGUGUCUUGGGAGCAUGCGUCUGUGUGAGAUUUCUUCCAGUAGUACGUGAAUUGGUGACUCAAAAUUGCGAAAGCGAUCAUCAUGGACAAGAGUUUUGGCAUGGAAGGCAUUAUGCAACAUCCUCAGAAUGCUUCAGAAACCAGCAUGAAUGAAGACCAAAUUGAAGGAAAUUUCAGUGACAGGCCUGUGUUUAACUCCUCAAUAUGUGACCUAUCAGAUGAAGAGAUUUCGACAAAGAAAGACAAGCACAUGAGGCUCGGCCCUGAAGACCUCAAUGACACCAUUCCCUAUAAUUAUUGACUGGCAGCAUCCAUAAAGUGUGUCUUGAAAUAUUUUCUGAACUUGCAUGGAAUGUUUUUAUUAAACUGAACUUUUAUUUAAAUUUAUAUAAAAAAAAUAAAAUUUAUAAAUAAUUA